UACAGAGGGUGCAAACGUUGCUCGGAAUCACUGGGCGUAAAGCGCACGUAGGCGGAUUGUUAAGUCAGGGGUGAAAUCCUGGAGCUCAACUCCAGAACUGCCUUUGAUACUGGCGAUCUCGAGUCCGGGAGAGGUGAGUGGAACUGCGAGUGUAGAGGUGAAAUUCGUAGAUAUUCGCAAGAACACCAGUGGCGAAGGCGGCUCACUGGCCCGGUACUGACGCUGAGGUGCGAAAGCGUGGGGAGCAAACAGG
rnacentral:rRNA from 1 species